rnacentral:misc_RNA from 1 species
CUGCGAAAUCAUAACCAGUAACCGAUUCGGCGUACAUUUGGAAAGCGCGUGGUGAAAGAUAACGUUCUAGCGACAAAUUAAUGACAAAUUGUUUUUGGAUCUUUAGAGCUGGCGGUCUUGUCAAGUUGUUGGAAGGACACGCGAAAUCCGGCGUCGUCGCAACAAGGAAGGGUGGAACGAGAAAUUGGAGACGCGUACACGGGGAAAAAUAUAUACGUGGCCCGAAGGUCCAAGGGGCCGCGACGUUGUCUUCUGCAAGGAGGAUUUGCCUUCGAGGAGGUUGCGGUCGCUACGAGGGAAGAAACCACCCCGCUAAGCCACCAUGAUUCCACGAGAUAAACCCCCAUAUUAUGUCGCCUGGGAUAAUACGAAAAACCCACCGCGAGAUGCGGUCCACUCGUGUGUAUAGAAGUAUCUGUGUACACAGGGUGGCGCCAAACGAAAGAACACUGGAUGUAGUUUAUGGAGUCUUUAUUAGACUGAAAACAUGAUUCUUCGUGGAAGGAUUGUAAGUGAAAAUAUGUGUUGUUCAUUGGGAAUUAUUAUAUGACAAAUGUAAUUUUCGAAAUACAAAUGACAAAUCGUAUUGUAUGUUCCUGUUUUCUUGUUAAUUUUAUAAUCUCUCGCUACGAACAAGUAAUGUUAUUUAGAAAAAUAAUUUCAACGAAACUACUGAUAUAAACAUUCCAUGAAAUAAAAUAAAAUAACACAUUCUAAAUUAAAUACGAAUUCAUUUUAAUAACUGGUAGUGGUUUACAUUGUAGUAUAAUUAAUACUGUUAUAUCGUAAUAUAUA